CCUACGGGGGGCUGCAGUGGGGAAUAUUGGACAAUGGGGGGAACCCUGAUCCAGCCAUGCCGCGUGUGUGAAGAAGGCCCUCGGGUUGUAAAGCACUUUCAGUGAGGAAGAACGCCUGGUGGUUAAUACCCAUCAGGAAAGACAUCACUCACAGAAGAAGCACCGGCUAACUCCGUGCCAGCAGCCGCGGUAAUACGGAGGGUGCGAGCGUUAAUCGGAAUUACUGGGCGUAAAGCGCGCGUAGGUGGCUUGAUAAGCCGGUUGUGAAAGCCCCGGGCUCAACCUGGGAACGGCAUCCGGAACUGUCAAGCUAUAGUGCAGGAGAGGAAGGUAGAAUUCCCGGUGUAGCGGUGAAAUGCGUAGAGAUCGGGAGGAAUACCAGUGGCGAAGGCGGCCUUCUGGACUGACACUGACACUGAGGUGCGAAAGCGUGGGUAGCAAACAGGAUUAGAUACCCUGGUAGUC
rnacentral:rRNA from 1 species